CCCGCUGAACUUAAGCAUAUCAAUAAGCGGAGGAACAAGAAACUAACAAGGAUUCCCCUAGCAACGGCGAGGGAAGAGGGAAGAGCUCAAAUUUUGAAUCUGGCACCUUUGGUGUCUCGAGUUGUAAUCUAGAGAAGUGCUUUCUGUGGCGGACCGUGCACAAGUCUCCUGGAAUGGAGCGUGAUAGAGGGUGAGAAUCCCGUAUAUGGCACGGACUCCCGUUGCUCUGUGAAACACUCUCAACUGAGUCGAGUUGUUUGGGAAUGCAGCUCCAAAUGGGUGGUAAAUGCCAUCUAAAGCUAAAUAUUGGCGAGAGACCGAUAGGGAACAAGUACCGUGAGGGAAAGAUGAAAAGCACUUUGGAAAGAGAGUGAAACAGUACGUGAAAUUGUUGAAAGGGAAACAUUUGAAGUCAGUCAUGCCCUUUGGGAUUCGGCCUUGCUUCUGCUUGGUUUACUUCCUGUGUGGGUGGGUCAACAUCAGUUUCGGUCAGAGGAAAAAGGCUUGGGGAAGGUGGCAGCAUUGCUCUGUGUUAUAGCCCCUUCUUGUAUACUUUGACUGGGACUGAGGACCGCAGCGCGCCUUUACGGCCGGGGCUUUGCCCCCGUACACGCUUAGGAUGUUGGCAUAAUGGCUUUAAGUGACCCGUCUUGAAACACGG
rnacentral:rRNA from 1 species